GACGAACGCUGGCGGCGUGCCUAAUACAUGCAAGUCGAGCGGACUUAAAAGGAGCUUGCUCCUUUUAAGUUAGCGGCGGACGGGUGAGUAACACGUGGGCAACCUGCCCUAUAGCUUGGGAUAACUCCGGGAAACCGGGGCUAAUACCGAAUAAAACAAUUUAACUCCUGUUAAAUUGUUGAAAGAUGGUUCUGCUAUCGCUAUUGGAUGGGCCCGCGGCGCAUUAGCUAGUAGGUGAGGUAACGGCUCACCUAGGCGACGAUGCGUAGCCGACCUGAGAGGGUGAUCGGCCACACUGGGACUGAGACACGGCCCAGACUCCUACGGGAGGCAG
rnacentral:rRNA from 1 species